CGUACCCAGAACCGCCACAGGUGCCCCUAGGUGAGAAGCCUAAGGCGUGUCGGCAUAAUCCAGGCAAGGGAACUCGGCAAAAUAGCCCCGUAACUUCGGGAGAAGGGGUGCCAGCCAUGAGAAUGUCUGGUCGCAGUGACAAGGGGACUCCGACUGUUUAAUAAAAACAUAGGUGGCAGCUAGUCCGUAUGGAUUUGUAUUGCCGCUGAAACCUGCCCAGUGACGGUAUCUGAAACCCGGGUACAACCGGUAGAAGGACCGUUAAACGGCGGGGGUAACUAUGACCCUCUUAAGGUAGCGUAAUACCUUGCCGCUUAAUUGGCGGCUUGCAUGAAGGCCCAACGAGAGUCCUACUGUCCCUGCCUGGAAGCCGGUGAAACUGAUAAUACUGGCGCACAAUCCAGUACCUUCCACCUGAAAGCGAAGACCCCAUGGAGCUUUACUGCAGCCUGUCGUUGUGUUACGAUAUUNNNNNNNNNNNNNNNNNUGGGUGGGGCGCCACGCCCUCGAAAAAAUAACAAGGGCGCCCAAUGGUCGGCUCAGGCAGGUCAGAAAUCUGCCGUUGAGUGCAAGGGCAAAAGCCGGCUUGACGUGGUUUAGCCCAACAAUAAACCACGAUGCGAAAGCAGGGCCUAGCGAACCAACACAUUUCAUUUAUGGGAGGUGUUGAUAACAGAAAAGUUACCCUGGGGAUAAUUGAGUCGUCGCCAGCAAGAGUUCAUAUCGACCUGGCGGCUUGCUACUUCGAUGUCGGUUCUUCCUAUCCUGGUGGUGCAGCAGCUGCCAAGGGUGGGGUUGUUCGCCCAUUAAAAGGGAUCGUGAGCUGGGUUUACAACGUCGUGAGACAGUUGUGUUGCUUUUUGGUGGAAGUGUUUUGAUGUCUGAGGGGAAAGAGCCUUUAGUACGAGAGGAACGGGGCUUUGUGGCCACUAGUCUACCAGUUGUUCGACAGAGCAUUGCUGGGCAGCCACGCCAUACGAGAUAAGGGCUGAAAGCAUCUAAGCCCGAAGCUUACCCUAAAAAGAGACAUCUUAAAGUACUCAUAGAAGAUGAGAUGAUAGAGUUGGGGUGUACGUGCGAAGUGCCUUGGUGCGACGCAUUCAGCCCGCAACUACUAAUAACUUUAGCCACAACA
rnacentral:rRNA from 1 species